AAGAAAGCAUGAUAAAUGCCAAGAGGAACAGUCCAGAGAAGCAGGCAGAAAGGGACCCAGAGCUCCCUCCUUUUCACUAAGGGCACUACAAAUUCCCUAAAAGCAUCUCGCCCCUCCAGGUUUUCCCAGCAAGCACGGGGAGAGACCAGGAGACCUCCAGUCCCUCCAGCUGCACACACUUCACACGGAUGGCCAUAGGAACCGGAAAGGACCUUCUGGUUGGAGGACCAGGUAGUGGAAUGAUGGCGUUAUCAGGACAGAUGAUGUACAUUUGCAAAAUGGCUUGGUGAGACUGGACGUUGCCAUGAGUGGUCAUGGGCGGAGAAGGGGCAUCUAACAUGACCUCGCUGGACCUUCCCGGCAUCUGAGCUAACUGGCCACUGGUGAUAGUCAAUAAAUGCUUUAUGAAAUUAAGCCCAAGAUGAAUGGCAAGGAGGGAGAAG